rnacentral:lncRNA from 1 species
UUAAUUUCACAAAUUUAAAAUUUUGAAUUUUUAAAUUUAAAAUUUGAAAUUUAAAAGUUUAAAAUUGAAAAUUAAUAAUUCAAAUGUGAAAUUUAAAAUUUAAAAUUAAAGCUUGAUUUAAAUUUUAAUUUUGAAUCUAAAUUUAAAAUAAAAUUUAAAAUUUUUCCAAAAUUAGAAUCAGAUUUCAAGAAGUAGGUUUGGCUACUAAUUUUGGCCUCGAAAAUAAAAAAACUGAUUCGAAAAAUCAGAAUCAGAUUUUGAAAACUAGGUUGCCAAACGCUUUAUUAAACCAAAAAUCACUUUUGGGCCCAAAAUCUCUUUUCAAAAUCUAGGCCAAACAUCUACUUAGUUUACAAUCUUGUGCAGAUUUAGGAUGGGAAACAAAGCGACUUUCUAGUUUUUUUUGUGGUUCUCCUGCUUUGUAACUAGCAACUAGUGUUUUGAAUGUUUAUGGAGUCUAAGGGUUGGGUUCAUCAGUCAAGAAGUUCAUAAUUAGCAACUAACAUUAAGAGAUCUACAUAAUUAGCAACUAACAUUAAGCAACUAACAUUAAGAGAUCUAUAAAAGGGGUCUAUAGCAUCGGCUUGAGUCAGUUUGGUCUUGAAUUAUCUUUGAUUAAUGAAUUGAUAGUGAGUUUGUUGACUUCAACUUUGUCUAGCUUUGCUUUGUUGUGCUUUAAGUUUCUUCUUCCCUUUCUCUAUCGUCCACCCUCAUCAUCUGGUAUUAGAGAUUGAGUGAGGUUAUUAGAUGAGUUCUUGUCUCAUGGCGACAGAAGGAGGAUGGGGAAGGCAUGGAGAUCUGAUGAUGGGCAGUAUAAGAGAUGAUAAAGGUGAAAAAAUUCGAGUUCUUUGAAGGCAAGUUGAGUAGCUUACUGUGCGCUUUGAACGACAGGAGGCUCAUAGCUCUAAAACAUCAAGCUAUGGGUAUUCCAAUGAUGAAGACGAAGAUGUGAAUCCAUUUGCCAGCUGGCAGGUUCGGGAGGAGACAAUUAAGGAGAGUUUUCUCCAUACAUUUGAUACCAUCAAGGUUGGUUUCUUGGAAUUCGAUUAUCGUCUUUGGCCCGAAGAGUUUCUUGACUGGCUUUGUGCUGUUGAGAAAUUCUUUAAAUGUAGGGAUGUCGUUGAGUACUACAAGAUAAAAGCUAGUGGUCACUGACUUUGUGGCUGUGCUUCGACUUGGUGGGACAAGGUCGAAGAAUUGUGACUUCGCAAAGGCAAGUAGGGGUGAAAACAGAUCGGAUACGGUCUGAUAUUGGACAGAACCAUAUCCGCAUCCAUAUUUUUUUAUUCGGGUGUGAAUUUCCUUUUGGAUAUUUGUCAGAUGCUAAAUUUUCGUUACCUUAUCCGCUAAAAAUGGAUUCAGAUAUAGUCAGAUACUUUUUCGAAUUUGGAUAUGGAUUGGAUUUGGAUUUGGAUAUGGAUAUUAUUCGGAUAAUAAUAUAUACUAGUACGUACAUAUAAAUAUGAACUAGAGUAAUUGCCAAUACAACUUAAGUUUCACACUUAUGUUUAAAUUUUUAUGUACCUAUAUUUUAUUGAAUAAAAUCUAAGAUAUAAUAAAUAUAAAUGCCAUAAUAUAAAAUUCAUAAUAACAUAAACAAAGAACAUAAAAAAAAUCACCUUAUUUUCCCA